rnacentral:ncRNA from 1 species
CGGCCUGAGGUCGGACGAGGCUACCCGCUGAAUUUAAGCAUAUUACUAAGCGGAGGAAAAGAAACUAACGAGGAUUCCCUCACUACCCGCAAGUGGAACGGGGACCAGCUCCAACCCCCAAUUCCGGCC